UACAGCAGCAUACCACCCUGCAUCCCUCCCACUGCUGGCUUGCCUCUGAAUCUAAGCAGGGUUGGUCCUGGUCAGUCCCUGGAUCGGAGACCAGAUGCCGCUGGAA
rnacentral:rRNA from 1 species